GAUUCAUGAUUCGCAUCGUUCGUUUCGCUGGUCUACUACUACUAAACGCAUCCUCAGUGCGCGGUAGACUGGUGCGCGACGUUCAGCGGUAACGCUUGAGUCAGGUCAUCAGAAAUAAAAAACCCGCGCCGCUGCGCGGGUUUUUUU
rnacentral:sRNA from 1 species